CAGAUUUUUAAAAUUUUUACUUUAUUUCAGUGGUAUCGAUUCCACUGGGUCUCGAGGCUCGACCCAUUAAAAUAUUCUAUAAAAUGGAUAAUAUUGACCCAUUAGAACAUCAUGUAGCCUCGUCUAAUGUAUGGCUUUGAAAACGAGGAAAUUCUUUUCGGUGUAUUAUUUAUUUUAAAAAGUAAUAAUUACCUGGAUGCGCUAUUUGGCGAGAAGCAAACAAAAAAUGCUAAAGAUUCAAAUUAAGUGAAUAUGAAAUAAUUACUGGGGUUCGAAAAUAUAUCGAUGAAGAUAUUCCUAAUUA